AUUGAACGCUGGCGGUAGGCCUAACACAUGCAAGUCGAACGGCAGCACAGUAAGAGCUUGCUCUUACGGGUGGCGAGUGGCGGACGGGUGAGGAAUACAUCGGAAUCUACUUUUUCGUGGGGGAUAACGUCGGGAAACUUACGCUAAUACCGCAUACGACCUACGGGUGAAAGCAGGGGAUCUUCGGACCUUGCGCGAUUGAAUGAGCCGAUGUCGGAUUAGCUAGUUGGCGGGGUAAAGGCCCACCAAGGCGACGAUCCGUAGCUGGUCUGAGAGGAUGAUCAGCCACACUGGAACUGAGACACGGUCCAGACUCCUACGGGAGGCAGCAGUGGGGAAUAUUGGACAAUGGGCGCAAGCCUGAUCCAGCCAUACCGCGUGGGUGAAGAAGGCCUUCGGGUUGUAAAGCCCUUUUGUUGGGAAAGAAAAGCAGCAGGUUAAUACCCCGCUGUGCUGACGGUACCCAAAGAAUAAGCACCGGCUAACUUCGUG
rnacentral:rRNA from 1 species